UACGUAGGGGCAAGCGUUGUCCGGAUUUAUUGGGCGUAAAGAGCUCGUAGGCGGCUUGUCACGUCGGGUGUGAAAGCCCGGGGCUUAACCCCGGGUCUGCAUUCGAUACGGGCAGGCUAGAGUGUGGUAGGGGAGAUCGGAAUUCCUGGUGUAGCGGUGAAAUGCGCAGAUAUCAGGAGGAACACCGGUGGCGAAGGCGGAUCUCUGGGCCAUUACUGACGCUGAGGAGCGAAAGCGUGGGGAGCGAACGGG
rnacentral:rRNA from 1 species